GUGGCCGUGGUGUAGUGGCAACACAGCAGGUUGUGGUCCUGUUAUCACGAGUUCAAUCCUCGUCGGCCACCCCA
rnacentral:tRNA from 1 species